AAGUCGUAACAAGGUCUCCGUUGGUGAACCAGCGGAGGGAUCAUUACCGAGUUUACAACUCCCAAACCCAAUGUGAACGUUACCAAACUGUUGCCUCGGCGGGAUCUCUGCCCCGGGUGCGUCGCAGCCCCGGACCAAGGCGCCCGCCGGAGGACCAACCAAAACUCUAUUGUAUACCCCCUCGCGGGUUUUUUUUUAUAAUCUGAGCCUUCUCGGCGCCUCUCGUAGGCGUUUCGAAAAUGAAUCAAAACUUUCAACAACGGAUCUCUUGGUUCUG
rnacentral:misc_RNA from 1 species